GACGAACGCUGGCGGCGUGCUUAACACAUGCAAGUCGAGCGGAAAGGCCACUUCGGUGGUACUCGAGCGGCGAACGGGUGAGUAACACGUGAGUAAUCUGCCCUUGGCUUUGGGAUAGCCACCGGAAACGGUGAUUAAUACCGGAUACGACCACUUCUCGCAUGGGAUGGUGGUGGAAAGUUUUUUCGGCCAGGGAUGUGCUCGCGGCCUAUCAGCUUGAUGGUGAGGUAAUGGCUCACCAUGGCUUCGAAGGGUAGGCGGCCUGAGAGGGUGACCGGUCGCAAUGGGACUGAGACACGGCCCAGACUCCUACGGGAGGCAGCAGUGGGGAAUAUUGGACAAUGGGCGGAAGCCUGAUCCAGCAGUGCCGCGUGAGGGAUGACGGCCUUCGGGUUGUAAACCUCUUUUAGUAGGGAAGAAGCGGAAGUGACGGUACCUGCAGAAAAAGCACCGGCUAACUACGUGCCAGCCGCCGCGGUAA
rnacentral:rRNA from 1 species